rnacentral:rRNA from 1 species
UACGUAGGGGGCGAGCGUUGUCCGGAAUCAUUGGGCGUAAAGGGUGCGUAGGCGGCGCGGUAAGUCGGGUGUGAAAUCUCGGAGCUUAACUCCGAAACUGCAUUCGAUACUGCCGUGCUUGAGGACUGGAGAGGAGACUGGAAUUUACGGUGUAGCGGUGAAAUGCGUAGAUAUCGUAAGGAAGACCAGUGGCGAAGGCGGGUCUCUGGACAGUUCCUGACGCUGAGGCACGAAAGCGUGGGGAGCAAACAGG